ensembl:lncRNA
AGCCCCCUCUGGAUUGAUCUAGGUGUCAGUAACGCACAGGUUUUCCAGCUCUAAGCAGAGAGGAGAGUACACAGAAGAAGGACAGAGUGACUGUGUGACUGGGUGUGUGUGUGUGAGUGAGAGAGUGUGUGGGAGGUCGUGCAGCAUGCAGCAGUAGAGAGGAUACACACACUCGCCAUGGCGUGUCCCCCGCCCCCUCCCCCUGUUUAAGAAGAGCUACGUCCUCCCUCUAACUCACCACUGGGGGCUUCAGAGUGGAGCCCCACACACCACAUCACACCACACCACACACACCGGCCCACUACAAUCCCAGGUGUGUGUGUGCGAGUUGGGUUCUCGCCCCCUUCCUGAGGGAAGAUGUCUGUGGUGAUGCCCCUGGAUGGGGUGAGGGAGGGGGAGAGUGUGCUGGUUACUGAGACCCCAGCCGGCACGCGCUGCAAAGGAAACACCAAUUUACCUGGCAAAGACAACUGCACUGACAACAACAACACAGAGCCUGACGACAACCUCUCACAAGACACACAGAAACGCUGUCAGAACCAUGGCCAUACCAGGAAAAGAGCCAAGUCCAAUGCCAAGCUGAAGCUGGUGCGGAGUCUAGCAGUAUGUGAAGAGUCAUCGGGUCCAUUCUCAACUGAUGGACCUCCAGAGACGCAGGACAUCAUUCAGCUACACAUCAGCUGUCCUUCAGACAAAGAAGAGGAGAAAUCCUCGAAAGAUGAGUACGAGAGUGAGGAGAGGGAGAAGAAGGACAAGACUCCUCGCAAGAUGCUCUCGCGGGACUCCAGUCAGGAGUACACAGACUCCACGGGCAUCGAUGUGCACGAGUUCUUGGUGAACACACUGAAAAACAACCCCAGGGACAGAAUGAUGCUACUGAAGCUGGAACAAGAUAUACUGGAGUUCAUCAAUGAUGACAAUAAUCAGUAUAAGAAGUUCCCUCAGAUGACCUCUUACCAUCGCAUGCUACUGCAUCGGGUGGCAGCAUAUUUUGGAAUGGACCACAACGUGGACCAAACUGGCAAAGCAGUCAUCAUCAACAAAACGAGCAACACGCGCAUCCCUGAACAGAGGUUUUCUGAGCACAUUAAGGACGAAAGGAACAUGGAUUUCCAAAAGAAAUUCAUUCUCAAGAGGGAUGAUGCAAGCAUGGACAAAGACGAUAACCAGGUGAGCGUUCACCUUUGUCUUCCUAAUGUGACCCCCAGACUGUCCACUGACGGCUACUCCUCUUCCUCCCAUAAGAGGAGGCAGAUCUUUAGGGGUAAUAAGGAGAGUUCGAGCAGAGCGUCCAGCAGCCGGCAGAGCAGCACAGACAGCGAUAUGAAGAGUCUGGAGCCACGGCCGUGGAGCAGCACAGACUCGGACAGUUCCAACCGCACACUGCGGCCACCCGUCACCAAGGCCAGCAGCUUCAGUGGCAUCUCUAUCCUCACACGCGGCGACAGCCUGGGCAGCAAGGGCUCGCAGGGUAGUCUCCCUCUCAUCACCACAGAGACAUGCCCCCAGCCCCAGCCCCCCCAGCAGGGACGCAGCCUCUUGCCCUGUCCUUCCAACUGCCCCUCUAAUGCCCCUCCACCCCAGAACCAGGCGCCCCCACCACCCCCACAAACUCCGGUGGCCUCUCUGCAGCCCUCUCCGCAGCCUGUCUCAUACUCCAGCCCCUCCUGCCCUCAGGUCAUCCUGCCUGUUUCUCCUUCUCAGCAGUAUAACAUGGGAGAUGAGUUGACCCCAGGCUUCGGGCAGAUGUCUCUGAGCCGCCAGGGCUCCAGCGAGGCUCCAGAGCCACCCACCCUCUACCAGCCUCCUCCUGCCGUCCUGUCCCAGCACCCCCCACCACAGCCAAGUUACAUCAUGCCCCCACCGCCCUCUGGGUACCAACCGCCCACACCUCACCCACACCCUCCUCCACCCCCUCCGCCUCCUACCCAGCCUGUACUGCAGACAGCACCGCCUGCUCAGGGCUACAUGCAGCCCCCGCCACCACCUCAGCAGAUCCAGGUGCAGUAUUACUCAGCUGGUGGGCAGUAUCCGAGUUCAGGACAGCAGUACAGGUCCAUAUCCCACCAAGUGUCAUACCCUGCUCAACGCUCUCAGACCCUCCCCCCACCAACGCAGCCCUCCGCUCCUCUCCAGCCUAUGAUGGCGAGUCAGCAGCCAACGUAUCAGAGCAUGAUGGGAGUUCAGCAGCCGCAGAGUGCCAGUAUAAUGAGCUCACAGCGCACAGGCAUGAGCGGACAGAUGCAAGGCAUGAUGGUCCAGUACACACCCAUGCCCUCCUAUCAGGUGGCCGUAGCUAAUGAAACCCAGCCUGUGGUGCAGCAGCAGUACCAGCAGCCUGUCAUGGUGCCUGUUAGCCAGUCUGUCCAGGGUGCCAUGCCAACCCCUGCACCCAUGCCAGUCUACUACAGUGUCUUGACCCCCACACAACAGAACAGCACAAGUCCAUCUGUGGGCUACCUGCAGCCUCCCAGUUCAGAUCAGUACCAGAUGACCCAGUCUCCGUCCCCCUGCAGCCCUCAGCAGAUACAGCAGCAGUAUUCAGGAGUGCCGCCCCCUGGUCCAGGUGUCAUGGUGAUGCAGCUGAGUGUUCCAAAUGGGCCACAGUCUACUCAGAAUCCUCCUAUGGUGCAGUGGAAUCCCUGCAAGUAUUAUAGCGUGGAGCAGAGACCCAGCAAGCCUGAGCCACAGGUCAGCACUCAGUUAAGUAGUCCUUUGGCAUCUCCUACUCAGUCUCCCACUCCGUCUCCAUCCAGCAGCGGGAACAGUGUGUGCCCUGGACUCGGCCCACUUCCACUCAUUUCUCAGUUUCCUCGGCCUGGAGGACCCGCACAAGGUGACUGCACUGGGGUGGUGAGCCGUGUGUUGGAGGUGACGGAUCUACCCGAGGGCAUCUCUCGUCUAGAUGCCGAGAAGCUCUUCAACCAGCUCUCACUCUGCGGUGCCAAAAUCCAGUGGCUGAAGGACCCCCAGGUGCCCCGGGGGCCCACAACGGCCCCGGGACCCGGGGGAGGAUGCGGAAUGGGCAAAAACGAUGCACAUGACCCAGCCCACCUCUACACAGUGGUGGCCGUGUUCCCAAACACCAUGGCUGCCCAGAGCGCGUCCUUCAAGCUGAACAACAGUGGAGGAAGCCUGUUCAAACUGCGCGCCGCCAAAAAGAACUAUGACCUGCGCGUGCUGGAGCGAGCCAGCUCCCAGUGA